GCUAACGUAGCUUAACUAAAGCAUGACGCUGAAGAUGUCAAGAUAAACCUUAGACUGGUUUCGUAAGCA
rnacentral:tRNA from 3 species